rnacentral:rRNA from 1 species
CAGUCGAGGGGCAGCAUCAUCAAAGCUUGCUUUGAUGGAUGGCGACCGGCGCACGGGUGAGUAACACGUAUCCAACCUGCCGACAACACUGGAAUAGCCUUUCGAAAGAAAGAUUAAUACCGGAUGGCAUAGUUUUCCCGCAUGGGAUAAUUAUUAAAGAAUUUCGGUUGUCGAUGGGGAUGCGUUCCAUUAGGCAGUUGGCGGGGUAACGGCCCACCAAACCAACGAUGGAUAGGGGUUCUGAGAGGAAGGUCCCCCACAUUGGAACUGAGACACGGUCCAAACUCCUACGGGAGGCAGCAGUGAGGAAUAUUGGUCAAUGGACGAGAGUCUGAACCAGCCAAGUAGCGUGAAGGAUGACUGCCCUAUGGGUUGUAAACUUCUUUUAUACGGGAAUAAAGUUAGCCACGUGUGGCUUUUUGUAUGUACCGUAUGAAUAAGGAUCGGCUAACUCCGUGCCAGCAGCCGCGGUAAUACGGAGGAUCCGAGCGUUAUCCGGAUUUAUUGGGUUUAAAGGGAGCGUAGGCGGGUUGUUAAGUCAGUUGUGAAAGUUUGCGGCUCAACCGUAAAAUUGCAGUUGAUACUGGCGGCCUUGAGUGCAACAGAGGUAGGCGGAAUUCGUGGUGUAGCGGUGAAAUGCUUAGAUAUCACGAAGAACUCCGAUUGCGAAGGCAGCUUACUGGAUUGUAACUGACGCUGAUGCUCGAAAGUGUGGGUAUCAA